AGUGAACGCUGGCGGCAGGCCUAACACAUGCAAGUCGAACGGCAGCACAGAGGAGCUUGCUCCUUGGGUGGCGAGUGCCGGACGGCUGAGGAAUGCGUCGGAAUCUCCACAUUCGUGGGGGAUAACGUAGCGAAACUUACGCUAAUAACGCAUACGAUAUACGGGUGAAAGUGGUGGACCUUCGGGCCUCACGCAUAUCGAUGAGCCGACGCCGGCUGAGCUAGUUUGCGGGGUAAAGGCCCACCAAGCCGACGAUCCGGAGCGGGUCUGACAGGAUGUACAGCCACACUGGAACUGAAACACGGCACAGACUCCAACGGGAGGCAGAAGUGGGAAAUAUUGGACAAUGGGCGCAAGCCUGAUCCAGCCAUGCCGCGUGUGUGAAGAAGGCCUUCGGGUUGUAAAGCACCUUUGUCCGGAAAGAAAUCCUUUCGAUUAAUACUCGGAAGGGAUGACGGUACCGGAAGAAUAAGCACCGGCUAACUUCGUGCCAGCAGCCGCCGUAAUAC
rnacentral:rRNA from 1 species